GCGGAUAUGGCGGAAUUGGCAGACGCGCCAGAUUUAGGUUCUGGUGUUUCGGACGUGGGGGUUCGAGUCCCCCUAUCCGCA
rnacentral:tRNA from 1 species